UGAAUACGAGACGCUAAGGCGUCGAAGUAGUGUAUGUCAGACUUCCAAGAAAAGCUCGCACUGUCAUAGGUAAAAAAUGCCUGUACCAUAACCGACACAGGUGGGUAGGUAGAGUAUACUAAGGGGCGCGAGAUAACUCUCUCUAAGGAACUCGGCAAAAUGACUCCGUAACUUCGGGAGAAGGAGUGCCUUAUUUAUAAGGUUGCAAUAACAAGAUCCAAGCAACUGUUUACCAAAAACACAGGUCUCCGCUAAGUCGUAAGACGAUGUAUGGGGGCUGACGCCUGCCCAGUGCCAGAAGGUUAAAGAAGUUGGUUAGCAUUCGCGAAGCUGAUAACUGAAGCCCUGGUGAACGGCGGCCGUAACGAUAACGGUCCUAAGGUAGCGAAAUUCCUUGUCGGGUAAGUUCCGACCCGCACGAAAGGCGUAAUGAUUUGGAUACUGUCUCGGAGAGAGGCUCGGUGAAAUAGACUUGUCUGUGAAGAUGCGGACUACCUGCACCUGGACAGAAAGACCCUAUGAAGCUUUACUGUAACUUGAAAUUGAAAUUGGACUUUAGUCGCGCAGCAUAGGUGGGAAGCGUUGAGCAUAUUCUUGCGGGAAUAUAGGAGCUAUCAGUGAGAUACCACUCUUCUAAUGUUAGAUUUCUAACCUUGAACCAUUAUCUGGUCAAGGAACAGUUUCAGGCGGGCAGUUUGACUGGGGCGGUCGCCUCCCAAAUGGUAACGGAGGCGUACAAAGGUUUCCUCUGAACGGAUAGAAAUCGUAUCUAGAGUAUAAAGGCAUAAGGAAGCUUGACUGUGAGACCUACAAGUCGAGCAGGGACGAAAGUCGGUCUUAGUGAUCUGACGGUACUGAGUGGAAAGGCCGUCACUCAACGGAUAAAAGUUACUCUAAGGAUAACAGGCUGAUCUCCCCCAAGAGUUCACAUCGACGGGGAGGUUUGGCACCUUGAUGUCGGCUCAUCGCAUCCUGGGGCGGUAGUACGUCCCAAGGGUUGGGCUGUUCGCCCAUGAAAGCGGUACGCGAGCUGGGUUCAGAACGUCGUGAGACAGUUCGGUCCAUAUCCGGUGUAGGCGUUAGAAUAUUGAGAGGAGCCUUCUUUAGUACGAGAGGACCGAGAAGGACAUACCUCUGGUGUACCAGUUAUCGUGCCAACGGUAAACGCUGGGUAGCUAUGUAUGGAGUGGAUAACCGCUGAAAGCAUCCAAGUGGGAAGCCCACCUCAAGAUGAGUAUUCUCA
rnacentral:rRNA from 1 species